rnacentral:tRNA from 1 species
GCCCCGGUAGCUCAACGGUAGAGCACCUGCCUUGUAAGCAGGGGGUUGGGGGUUCAAAUCCCUCCCGGGGCU